CAUAGUUGGGUUGUACCUUCCUUAGGUGUCAAAUGUGAUGCUGUACCUGGUCGUUUAAAUCAGACCUCUAUUUCGGUACAACGAGAAGGAGUUUACUAUGGUCAGUGCAGUGAGAUUUGUGGAACUAAUCAUGCCUUUAUGCCUAUCGUCGUAGAAGCUGUUCCUCCAGAAUUGGGUCAAUCACGUUUAUUAGAAGUCGACAAUAGAGUGGUUGUACGAGCAAAAAGUUAUAUACGUUUUAUUGUAACAUCUGCUGAUGUACAUCAUAGUUGGGUUGUACCUUCCUUAGGUGUCAAAUGUGAUGCUGUACCUGGUCGUUUAAAUCAGACCUCUAUUUCAGUACAACGAGAAUAGGUUUACUAUGGUCAGUGCAGUGAGAUUUGUGGAACUAAUAAUGCCUUUAUGCCUAUCGUCGUAGAAGCUGUUCCUAGGAAAGAUUAUGGGUCUCGGGUAUCCAAUCAAUUAAUCCCACAAAGCACGGAAGCUUAAGCGGAAAUGAAAGAGGAGGGUGAGGGAAGCCACUAAAUUGAGGGCUUCGCUCGCUCGCUCUAACGCUCGUUUAGUAGACAGCGAGUGGAGUGCAUAAGCCCCUUUAGAGAUAGGGGUGAGUACUACACGAGCUCGUAAGUAAAGUACGGAACGAGC
rnacentral:lncRNA from 1 species